rnacentral:sRNA from 1 species
AAGCUCCCGGCCGGGCUGACUCAAGCGGAGGUGCGCGGAACGGUCGCCGCGGCGAUUCCCGCCCAGGCUCCUGUGACCACCAGGCAGCGGCCCUGCCAUGUCCCAGCCCCGGACCCCAGAGCAGGCACUGGACACGCCGGGGGACUGGCCCCCAGGCAGGAGAGACGAGGACGCCGGGGAGGGGAUCCAGUGCUCCCAACGCAUGCUCAGCUUCAGUGACGCCCUGCUGUCCAUCAUCGCCACUGUCAUGGUCUGUACGGGGCCCCUGCUUAGGCCUGCCCCGCCCCGAGCCCCUCAAGGCACUGCCCAACCCACCUCAGACCUGUCCAGGUCUUGCCAGCAUCCUUGGGUCCCCCAGCUCCUCAGGCAGCUUAGAGGGGCCCAGCACUGCCCUCGAGUCCCCAGUACCGCCACACCCAGUCCAACAAGCGUCUCCUGCUUCCUCUGUCUCUUUGCCCCCUCAGAUCCUGCCUGUGACCCACACGGAGAUCUCCCCAGAACAGCAGUUGGACAGAAGUGUACAGAGGCUUCUGGCGACACGGAUCGCCGUCUACCUGAUGACCUUUCUCAUCGU